rnacentral:RNase_P_RNA from 1 species
UCAGUCGGCCGGGCGGCCGCUCCGGGCGUCAUGUCCGGGGAGGAAAGUCCGGGCUCCAUGGAGAGACGGUGCCGGAUAACGUCCGGCGGGGGCGACCCCAGGGACAGUGCCACAGAGAGCAGACCGCCGCGGAUCGGCGCGAGCCGAUCCGCGGUAAGGGUGAAAGGGUGCGGUAAGAGCGCACCGCGGACGCGGCAACGCGGACGGCACGGCAAACCCCACCGGGAGCAAGACCGAAUAGGGGCGACAGGACGGGUCUCGCAACCCGUCAGGCUUCUCUCCAGGCCCGUCGCCCGGGUUGGUUGCUCGAGGCGCGUCGGCAACGCGCGUCCCAGAGGAAUGGCCGCCACGUCGGGAGGACCCGCAAGGGUCGUCCAGGCCCUACAGAACCCGGCUUAAAGGCCGACUGAUCCA